rnacentral:ribozyme from 12 species
CACAGCAGAAAAUAAAGCUGAAGAGAUAGCAAAAAGAAGAAGGCAGGGAUGAAAGCUGGUAAGGUUUUCAUUUUUGUUUUCCAACUUUCUUUCCUUUUGGACUUCUUGUUUCUUUCUUUUUCUCU